UACAGUGUCAAUCAUUUCAUUUUUUAUUGUGAAUAACAGAAUGGUUUGGGGGCCACUGGCACCCUAAAAAGGUCCAAAUUUGGUCCGCGAACCCUAAGUUGAGUAUCACCGGCAUAAAGUUUUUGAGAAUUUAGUUAGAAAAAUUGACAGAUAGUGGAGUCACUGCUGAUUGGUUAGAGCAAAACAACCCUCCCUGACAAAUAGUUAAGAUAAAAAAUAAAAAAAAAAUAACUGCAAACGCCCUUUAUGUUGGUAAAAAGUCAAAAAUGUAAUAAAAAAUGUACCCACUUGAUAUGAAAAGCAGGAGUGAAGUGUGGGUCAGUGCGCCCGUGGACGUUUUGUUUGUGCUGCUCUUUGACCUUUUCAAACCCUCACUGGCCUCAUGCUUCUCUGUGCCGUACAGUCACCAUUAAUCUGUUUGUUUAUCUGUUGUUGUUUUUUUCUCCCAUCAUGCUUUGUGUUGCUGCUGCCUGACUCUGCUCCUGUGUGCUCUGCCCUGAUCAACAAUGUCUUUUGGCUUCUGUCUUCACCUCCUCAUCCUCCUCUUGGCUUCUGCUGCUUCUUUGCCUUAAUCCUUUUCCUUCCUCUCUUCUCCUGACGCCUCUUUCCUGUCGUCUUUUUUCCAAACCCUCUUCUCCUCUCUGUCUCUUUUUUUUUUCGUUCUUAUGUCUUUAUGUCGUCUUCUUCUGCUCCUUCAAUCUGUCCUCUCUUUCCUUGAUCUUUUGUCUCUGCUCUCCCUCUUUCCUCCUCUUUUAUCCUCCCUUUUCUCUCUCACUGAUCGGUCCUGAGCAGAGGAGGCUGAGGUGUCCAACAUCGACCACGUGGUUCUGGAUGAAGACCACUCUGGAUCCAGGAGGCUGCAGAACCUCUGGAGGGACUCCAGAGAGGAGGCGCUGGGUGAAUACUACAUGAGAAAGUAUGCUAAGUCCUCGGGAGGCGAGCAUUACUCCGGAGGGUCCGAGGAGCUCUCUGAUGACAUCACUCAGCAGCAGCUACUUCCUGGAGUCAAGGAUCCCAACCUGUGGACGGUCAAGUGUAAGAUCGGAGAGGAGAGGGCGACGGCCAUCGCGCUGAUGAGGAAGUUCAUCGCCUACCAGUUCACCGACACA